rnacentral:rRNA from 1 species
ACCUGUGAACAAUUCACCGAGAAUGCACCCGAUCCUGGCAGAUCAAGGAAGCUAAGCAGAUUGAGCCUGGAUAGCCUGCUUAGAUGGGCAACCACCAUGCAUAUAGCAGGUGGUGAAGGCU